rnacentral:rRNA from 1 species
AUGGCGAAUCGCGCCGCCAUCAUCUUCGUCGUCGUCCUAAAAGUGGCUGUCCUCUCGUCGUCCGCAGCCGCGCAGCUGAGGCCGGACUACUACGCCGGCGUCUGCCCCAACCUGGAGGGCAUCGUCCGGAGCUCCGUGAAGCAGUCCAUGGUCAAGUCCCCCAUCUCCGCGCCCGCUACCCUCAGGCUCUUCUUCCACGACUGCUGCGUGCAGGGCUGUGAUGCGUCGGUCAUGAUCAUGGGCUCAACCGGAGACGACGAGAACCCCGACAAAUAUUCGUUGAAGCCGGAGGGGUUCCAGACGAUCCUGGACGCCAAGGCCGCCGUGGACAGCGACCCGCAGUGCCGUUACAAGGUGUCCUGCGCCGACAUAAUCGCCCUUGCCACAAGAGAGUCCGUCUCCCAGAGCGGAGGGCCGAACUACACAGUGGAGCUCGGCAGGUACGAUGGAAAGAAGUCGACGGACAGAAGCGUCAGGCUGCCGCACCCCGGCGACAACCUCGACAGCCUCAAUGCCUACUUCUCAACCUUGGGCCUCUCCCAGACUGACAUGAUCGCCCUAUCAGGUGGCCACACCUUGGGCGCGGCGGACUGCGGCUUCUUCAAGUACAGGAUCGGUGGCAACGACCAGAGCAUGAACCCAAGUUUCGACGCGCAGCUCCAGGGCACCUGUGCCAAACAGAACUUUGCGUUCCUGGACGACGUUACACCGGUAGGGUUUGACAACUUCUACUACCGGAACCUGCAGAACGGCAGGGGCCUCCUGGGGUCCGACCAGGUGCUGUACACGGAUGAGAGGUCCCGCGGCACCGUGGACUUCUACGCGGCCAACCAGGGCACCUUCUUCUCCGACUUCGUCAUUGCCAUGACGAAGCUCGGCAGGGUUGGGGUCAAGACGGCCGCUGACGGCGAGAUACGCCGUGACUGUCAGUACCCAAACUAA